GAUGAAGAACGCAGUGAAAUGCGAUACUUGGUGUGAAUUACAGAAUCCCGUGAACCAUCGAGUCUUUGAACGCAAGUUGCGCCCGAAGCCAUUAGGCCGAGGGCACGCCUGCCUGGGUGUCACACGUCGUUGCCCCCCCAUCUACUCCUUCGGGAUUGCGGGGGGCGGAUGAUGGCCUCCCGUGCGCCUCGUCGCGCGGUUGGCAUAAAUGCCAAGUGCUCGGCGACGCACGCCACGACAAUCGGUGGUUGCGAAACCUCGGUUGCCCGUCGUGUGCGGUCGUCGCGCAUCGAGGGCUCGAAAAAAUUGCCGGGCUCCGGCUCGGCUUUCAACGCGACCCCAGGUCAGGCGGGGUUACCCGCUGAAUUUAAGCAUAUCAAUAAGCGGAGGA
rnacentral:misc_RNA from 1 species